UAGUCCACGCCGUAAACGAUGUGUGCUAGUUGUCGGGCUCUAAGAGUUCGGUGACGCCGCUAACGCAUUAAGCACACCGCCUGGGGAGUACGGCCGCAAGGUUAAAACUCAAAGGAAUUGACGGGGACCCGCACAAGCGGUGGAGCAUGUUCUUUAAUUCGAAGCAACGCGAAGAACCUUACCUACACUUGACAUACUCGUCGGGAAUUUCAGAGAUGAUUUUCUUCGGUUCGGCCGGACGAGAUACAGGUGCUGCACGGCUGUCGUCAGCUCAUGCCGUGAGGUGUUGGGUUAAGUCCCGCAACGAGCGCAACCCCUAUAUUUAGUUACCAUCAGGUCGUGCUGGGGACUCUAGAUAGACUGCCUGCGCAAGCAGAGAGGAAGGAGGGGACGAUGUCAAGUCAUCAUGGCCCUUACGCCCAGGGCUACACACGUGCUACGAUGGUGCAUACAGAGGGUAGCGAACUAGUGAUAGUAAGCCAAUCCCAAAAAGUGCAUCUCU
rnacentral:rRNA from 1 species